GAUGAACGCUGGCGGCGUGCUUAACACAUGCAAGUCGAGCGAGAAGUUUUGAAAAGAUUCUUCGGAUGAAAUUUAAAAUGGAAAGCGGCGGACGGGUGAGUAACGCGUAGGCAACCUGCCCCAUACAAAGGGAUAGCAUUUGGAAACGAAUAUUAAUACCUUAUGAAACUUAACUAGUGCAUGCUAGGUAGGUCAAAGAUUUAUCGGUAUGGGAUGGGCCUGCGUCUGAUUUGCUAAGUGGUGAGGUAACGGCCCACCAAGGCGACGAUCAGUAGCCGACCUGGGAGGGUGAACGGCCAACUUGGAACUGAGGCACGGUCCCAACUCCUACGGGAGGGAGCAGUGGGGAAUAAUGCACAAUGGGGGAAAACCUGAUGCAGCAACGCCGCGUGAACGAUGAAGGCCUUUGGGUCGUAAAGUUCUGUUCUAGGUGAUGAAAACUGACAGUAACCUAGGAGAAAGCCCCGGCUAACUCCGUG
rnacentral:rRNA from 1 species